GACGAACUGUGCAAACGUUAUUCGGAAUCACUGGGCUUAAAGGGUGCGUAGGCGGUCUUGUAAGUAGGGUGUGAAAGCCCCCGGCUCAACCGGGGAACUGCGUCCUAAACUGCGAGGCUAGAGUGAGGUAGGGGUGUGUGGAACUUCCAGUGGAGCGGUGAAAUGCGUAGAUAUUGGGAAGAACACCGGUGGCGUAAGCGACUGACUGGGCCAUAACUGACGCUGAGGAACGAAAGCCAGGGGAGCGAAUGGG
rnacentral:rRNA from 1 species